rnacentral:rRNA from 1 species
CCCUUAGAUGUUCUGGGCCGCACGCGUGCUACACUGAGUAAAUCAAUGGGUAAGGGAACAUGAAAGUGCAACCUAAUCUUGAAAUUUGCUCGUGAUGGGGAUCGACGGUUGCAAUUUUCCGUCGUGAACGAGGAAUACCUUGUAGGCGCGUGUCAUCAUCACGCGCCGAAUACGUCCCUGCCCUUUGUACACACCGCCCGUCGCUCCUACCGAUUGAGUGAUCCGGUGAGGCUCUGGGACCUGGACGGAAAGAGCGUUUCGCUUGUUCUGUUUGGGAAACUUGGUCGAACCUUAUCAUUUAGAGGAAGGAGAAGUCGUAACA